rnacentral:rRNA from 1 species
UAAGGAAUAUUGGUCAAUGGACGCAAGUCUGAACCAGCCAUGCCGCGUGGAGGAUGAAGGUCCUCUGGAUUGUAAACUUCUUUUAUCUGGGACGAAACACUUCUUUUCUAAGAGGCCUGACGGUACCAGAUGAAUAAGCACCGGCUAACUCCGUGCCAGCAGCCGCGGUAAUACGGAGGGUGCAAGCGUUAUCCGGAUUCACUGGGUUUAAAGGGUGCGUAGGUGGGUAUGUAAGUCAGUGGUGAAAUCCCCGAGCUUAACUUGGGAACUGCCAUUGAUACUAUAUAUCUUGAAUGUCGUAGAGGUAAGCGAAAUAUGUCAUGUAGCGGUGAAAUGCUUAGAGAUGACAUAGAACACCAAUUGCGAAGGCAGCUUGCUAUGCGAUUAUUGACACUGAGGCACGAAAGCGUGGGUAGCAAACA